GCCGGAAGGGCAGUGAAUAAAAUACCCGUAAGGGGAAUAAGCUCGCGGUGACUGUUGACCGUUUCGAACCUCCCGGUACUCACGU
rnacentral:ncRNA from 1 species